CAAUAGCGUAUAUUAAAGUUGUUGCAGUUAAAAAGCUCGUAGUUGGAUUUCUGGUGGGAGCGAUCGGUCUGGCGCUUAGCGCGAGUACUUGCAUCGUCUCCGGCCAUCCUUGGGGAGAGUCUGUCUGGCAUUAGGUUGUCGGGCAGAGGAUCCUCAUCGUUUACUGUGAAAAAAUUAGAGUGUUCAAAGCAGGCUUAUGCCGUUGAAUAUAUUAGCAUGGAAUAAUAAGAUAGGACUUUGGUACUAUUUUGUUGGUUUGCGCACCAAAGUAAUGAUUAAUAGGGACAGUUGGGGGUAUUCGUAUUCCGUUGUCAGAGGUGAAAUUCUUGGAUUUACGGAAGACGAACUACUGCGAAAGCAUUUACCAAGGAUGUUUCCAUUAA
rnacentral:rRNA from 1 species